UGCCAGCAGCCGCGGUAAUACGGAGGGUCCAAGCGUUAUCCGGAUUCAUUGGGUUUAAAGGGUGCGUAGGCGGAAAUUUAAGUCAGUGGUGAAAGCCCACAGCUCAACUGUGGAACUGCCAUUGAUACUGAAUUUCUUGAAUCUAGUUGAAGUAGGCGGAAUACAUCAUGUAGCGGUGAAAUGCUUAGAUAUGAUGUAGAACACCGAUCGCGAAGGCAGCUUACUAAGCUAGUAUUGACGCUCAGGCACGAAAGCGUGGGGAGCGAACAGGAUUAGAUA
rnacentral:rRNA from 1 species